UACGUAGGGGGCUAGCGUUGUCCGGAAUCAUUGGGCGUAAAGAGCGCGUAGGCGGCCAGACAAGUCCGGUGUGAAAGUCACAGGCUCAACCUGUGAAUGCCGCUGGAAACUGUCUGGCUAGAGUCCGGAAGGGGCGAGUGGAAUUCCUGGUGUAGCGGCGAAAUGCGCAGAUAUCAGGAGGAACACCAGUGGCGAAGGCGGCUACCUGGCCCACUCUUGACGCUGAGGCGCGAAAGCUAGGGGAGCAAACGGG
rnacentral:rRNA from 1 species